AAUCGAGCGCCGAGAGAGCGAGUCGGUGCUACUGGCGUCGGGUCGGUCCGGGUAGGCGCAGCGGGACUGGACCUGGGUGCCGAGCGGAGCCGCUGCCAUGGGCCUGGGCGUCAGCGCUGAGCAGCCCGCAGGCGGCGCCGAGGGCUUCCACCUCCACGGGGAUGUGGAACCAUCUUCACCUGCUGCCCUUGCCGGCCUGCGCCCCUACACAGACUAUGUGGUUGGUUCGGACCAGAUUCUCCAGGAGGUGAGGAACCCGCAAUUUGCCCCUCCCCAGACCCUCUGGAUGUGGUGUGAAGAGAAGGGUGCUGUCCAUGAGAAGUGUCUGGUUUUGUUGAGGCUUUAGCCCUGGAAGCAGGCCUCAGGUGCUAUGCGUUUCUCACAGUCCGAGGACUUCUUUACGCUCAUCGAGUCUCAUGAGGGGAAGCCCUUGAAGCUGAUGGUGUAUAACUCCAAGUCAGACUCCUGCCGGGAGUCUGGGAUGUGGCAUUGGCUAUGGGUAUCUACACCGGAUCCCAACUCAGCCCCCCAGCUACCACAAGAA
rnacentral:lncRNA from 1 species